GAUGAACGCUGGCGGCGUGCCUAACACAUGCAAGUCGAGCGAUCUUCUUCGGAAGAGAGCGGCGGACGGGUGAGUAACGCGUGGGUAACCUGCCUCAUACACAUGAAUAACAUACCGAAAGGUAUGCUAAUACAAGAUGAUAUAAGAGAUUCGCAUGAAUUUCUUAUCAAAGCUCCGGCGGUAUGAGAUGGACCCGCGUCUGAUUAGCUAGUUGGUAAGGUAAUGGCUUACCAAGGCGACGAUCAGUAGCCGACCUGAGAGGGUGAUCGGCCACAUUGGAACUGAGACACGGUCCAAACUCCUACGGGAGGCAGCAGUGGGGAAUAUUGCACAAUGGGCGAAAGCCUGAUGCAGCAACGCCGCGUGAGCGAUGAAGGCCUUCGGGUCGUAAAGCUCUGUCCUCAAGGAAGAUAAUGACGGUACUUGAGGAGGAAGCCCCGGCUAACUACGUGCCAGCCGCCGCGGUAAUAC
rnacentral:rRNA from 1 species